GCAAAACGGAUUAGAUACCCGUGUAGUCCACGCCGUAAACGAUGGAUAUUAGAUGUCUGAGGAUUCGACCCCUCGGGUGUCACAGCUAACGCGUUAAAUAUCCCGCCUGGGAAGUACGGCCGCAAGGCUAAAACUCAAAGGAAUAGACGGGGAUCCGCACAAGCGGUGGAGCGUCUGGUUUAAUUUGAUGAUAAGCAAUGGACCUCACCAAGGUUUGACAUCCUAUGACAACCCAAGAAAUUGGGCUUCCUUCGGGCAUAGUGACAGGUGCUGCAUGGUCGUCGUCAGUUCGUGCCGUGAGGUGUUCCGUUAAGUCGGGAAACGAACGAAACCCUCAUCGCAUGUUAUAUUUUUCAUGCGAGACUGCCCGGGUCAACCGGGAGGAAGGCGGGGAUGACGUCAGAUCAGCAUGGCCCUUAUACCUUGGGCUACACAGGCGCUACAAUGGCCGAUACAAAGGGUUGCAAAACCGCGAGGUGAAGCUAAUCCCAUAAAGUCGGUCCAAGUUCGGAUUGAAGGCUGCAAUUCGCCUUCAUGAAGUCGGAAUCGCUAGUAAUCGUGGAUCAGCCAUACCACGGUGAAUAUGUUCCCGGAUCUUGUACUCACCGCCCGUCACACCAAGAGAGUUGGUAGCUCCUGAAGCGUCGCAUCAAAGCGGCACCACGGAGAGAUCAGCGAUAGGGGUGAAGUCGUAACAAGGUAGCCGUAGA
rnacentral:rRNA from 1 species